rnacentral:rRNA from 1 species
UACGUAGGGGGCAAGCGUUGUCCGGAAUCAUUGGGCGUAAAGCGCGUGUAGGCGGCCUUGUAAGUCCGUUCUGAAAGCCCGGGGCUCAACCCCGGGAGGCGGAUGGAUACUGCAAGGCUCGAGUCCGGAAGAGGCGAGUGGAAUUCCCGGUGUAGCGGUGAAAUGCGCAGAUAUCAGGAGGAACACCAAUGGCGAAGGCAGCUCGCUGGGACGGUACUGACGCUGAGGCGCGAAAGCGUGGGGAGCAAACAGG